rnacentral:lncRNA from 10 species
CAAAGUGCUGGGAUUACAGGCAUGAGCCACUGCUCCCAGCCUGGCUGAGAAGCAAUUCUAAGCCACCACACAGAGUUGCAAAACCAUAAAACAAUUAGCAAUAACUCUGCCAUCAAACAGUUAAUUACCAGGGAGUGUAAAUAUGUGCUCAAGGCUCCAACUUACAGACUAAUAGGAGUUUUGAAGCUUGCCGUUUUUUGAAGGCUUAUACAAAAUAGUUUCCUGCAAACUCAAGUGGCUGGGAAGCCCAGCUGAAGGUUACUUCUACCCCAAGGCCAUGUCAGCAGAAAGUGGCCAACAGGACUUGGGCCUGAAAAAGCUCAGACUGAAUUUUAGGAGUGACAUCUGAAACUGCUGGUUUCUCACAAGGAAUAAAAGCUGUCUGGGAAGCUGGAGAGGCAGUGUGCUGUCUGGAGCAGGGACUUGCAAAUGGGAACAGUGAAGAGAGACAGCAUCUCCUUCCUCUGAAGAUUCUGUUCAGAAUGGAUAAAGGUUCAGCAUCCUCCCUGGAUGGGGCAGCUUAGCAGCAGGCAAGAAAGAAGUCAACUGAGUUUCUUCUAGAGAAAUUAUAGAAAGAAAGAAAAAGAAAGAAAGAAAGAAAGAAAGAAAGAAAGAAAGAAAGAAAGAAAGAAAGAGGAAGGAAGGAAAGAAAGAAAGAAGAAAGAAAAAGAAAGAAAGAAAGAAAGAAAGAAAGAAAGAAAGAAAGAAAGAAAGAAAGAAAGAAAGAAAGAAAGAAAGAAAGGGAAAGAAAGAAAAGUUGACUGAGACAUGGCCCAUUCCCUCCCUGGGACCAGCCUCUUCUUUCCAGCUCAAGGGUCAAGACAGUGUCCCCAGGAAGAAGCAAAGGCUGUGUUUUCCACACUCUUAUCUAGAGGAAACUGGCAAGGACCCUUGGCACUGUUGGCCAGCGCUCUUGGAGACAGCCAGGACGGGGUUGGCAGGACUGCCUACACUGCUUUGAAAAUAUUUAACAAUAGGUAACUUUGGCAUUUCGAGAAGGUCUUGGAUCACAGGAGUUGUGGAGGCCCUGGGAGAUGUAGAAAAGACAUAGUGAAAGCUUUUGUUUUGCCCGGAAGGAAAACAUGUGGAUGUCUCAGUCAGCUCAGACUUCUAUUUGGCUGAUGGGGAAGUCAGGGAGAGCUUGAGUGUUCACAGAAUGCCACCUCUACCUUGUAGCUGCCACGCGGAAUCGUUCAAUCUCUCAUCUGACAUCACCUUCACAGAUUCAGUUUCAUUCGCAAGGAAGACACUGACCAAAAAAAAAAAAAAAAAAAAAAAAAACAGAAGUAACUUUCCUUUAAAGGGCUCCAAACCUCCUGCUACCAAAAACUAGAAUUCUUGGUCUCUCUGGUUUACUGUCCCCCCAACCCAAGUUUGUCCCCCCCUCCCAGACAUCCACAUGCUUUCCUUGAGGUCAGGAGUGAUCCUCCCACCUCAGCCCCCUGAGUAGCUGGGACUACAGGCGAUGCCACCAUGCCUGACUAAUUUUUAAAAAUUUUUUAUAGAGAUGGGGUUUCAUCAUAUAGCCCAGGCUGGUCUUGAACUCCUGAGCUCAAGUGACCUGCCUACUUCUGACUCCCAAAGGCUUGAGAUUACAGGCGUGAGCCACCACACAUGGCCUAGUUUUAUUAUUUAAUUUUUUUUUUAAGAAUAGGGAUUUGCUGUGUUGCCCAACCUGGUCUCUAAUUCCUGGCUUCAAGUGAUUUUUCUGCCUUGGCCUUCCAAAGUGCUAGGAUUAUAAGCAUGAGCCACCACACCUGGCCCCAGUUAAAUUUGAAUUUCACAUACACAGGAAAUGAUAUUUUAUUUUAUUUUAUUUUUAAUUUGUUUUAUUUUGAGACAGUCUCACUCUAUCACCCAAGCUGGAGUGCAAUGGUGCAGUCUCGGCUCACUGACUGCAACCUCCGCCUCCUGGGUUCAAGCAAUUCACCUGCCUCAGUCUCCAGAGUACCUGGGACUACAGGCAUGCUCCAACAACCCCGGCUAAUUUUUGUAUUUUUUGUAGAGACAGGGUUUUACCACGUUGGCCAGGCUGGUCUUGAAUUCCUGACCUCAAGUGAUCCACCCACCUCAGUCUGCCAAAGUGCUGGGAGUACAGGUGUGAGCUACCGCUCCCAGCCAAGGAAUGAUAGUUUAGUGUAAAUAUGUACAUCCAUUCAAGGGAAUAAAAGUCAAGUUAGCAAAGAUGAGUCAUAAAAUAAUGUUAUUACAGUUUUGUGAUCGCUCAGGAAACAAGUAAUAUAAGCAUAAAACAUUAUGAAUUUACUAUACUAUUAUUAUUUUAUUUUUAUUGAUAUUAAUUGAAUCUUAGUAGACUAAAAUGAUACAGGUAUUAACCAAAGACAUGAACAAACAUAGAGUGUGAGAUGUUAGAGACCGCAACACACAUAGGUUAUGUUGCAGUGCAGCACUAAGAAUGAAUGUCUGUGUGUAGUAUAUAUUAAUUCUUUUCCCCAUAUGAUUUUCUAGAGCUGGAGGGAUUAAAAAUAGGUCUAUGAGGCCGGGCAUGGUGGCUCACGCCUGUAAUCCCAGCACUUUGGGAGCCCAAGGCGGGGAGAUCACUUGAGGUCAGGAGUUCGAGACCAGCCUGGCUAACAUGGUGAAACCCCAUCUCUAUUAACAAUACAAAAAAUUAGCAGGAUGUGGUGGCACCAGCCUGUAGUCCCAGCUACUCAGGAGGCUGAGGCAGGAGAAUCAUUUAAACCUGGGAGACGGAGGUUGCAAUGAGCUAAGAUUGCACCACUGCACUCCAGCCUGGGCAACAGAGCGAGACUCCAUCUCAAAAAGAAAAAAAAAAAAUUUGCCUUUUCUCUCUGAGCACUUUCAGAAUUUUCUUUUUCAACAACAACAACAACAAAAAUAGCAUACCAAGGAUAGGAAUAAUUGAAGAAAUGUGCAAGAUGUAUGCAAAGAACAUUGUAAAAUCUUACCGAAGUUCACCAAAGACUUGAACUUGUAUUUUCUCUCAAUCCUCAUCACAGUGCUUCAAGGUGGAUAUCAUUUUAUCUUUCUGCACUCAGAAAGAUUAAAUAAAUUGCUCAAGUCCACAGAGCAGCAAAGCUGCAAUUUAAACCAGAUUCUCACAUUUGUGCUCCGUAUGGUAACUCCUGCUAGCCCCAAGGAACUGAUAUAAGUUAAUGAAGUAACCAAAUGUGACUUUAUUACUUUAUUACUUUAUUAUUUACUUAAUUAUUAUUACUUUAUGUCAAGAUUAUUCCUACACGCACAUGCUGGCUCACAAAUUAUAGGUUUCUCCUUGGUUGUAAAAAUCGCAUGAGUCAUAUUUGUGGCAAGAAUCAUGUAACAGUGCAAGGAAAUUUUGAGAUUUUUGGAGUAGAUGUUCCUCAGAUUCUGAAAUGCUCAGGUGAGAUAAGGAUGUGCCUCCGGGCCCUUGCACUUGCUGUUCCCUCUAUCUGGAAAGCACUUCCCCAGAUACUGGCAUAACUACCUUCCUCAUUUCUUCAAAUCUUUGCUUAGAUAUUGCCAUCACAAAGAGUUCUUUCCUGGCCACCCUACUUAUAAUUACAACCUCUUCUGGCUUUAUUUUUUCUCACAGUACUUAUCACUAUCUAGUGUAUGUAUAAUUUACAUUUUUAUUUUGUUUACUGUCUCCUCCUCAUCCUCUACCCACCCCUCUGCCCCCCAAAAAAAUGUUAGCUCCAGGAUAGAAGCAGAAUUUUGUCUUUUUGUUUUGCCAUCAG